UAACUGAAUCCAUAGGUUAAUGAGGCGAACCGGGGGAACUGAAACAUCUAAGUACCCCGAGGAAAAGAAAUCAACCGAGAUUCCCCCAGUAGCGGCGAGCGAACGGGGAGCAGCCCAGAGCCUGAAUCAGUAUGUGUGUUAGUGGAAGCGUCUGGAAAGGCGCGCGAUACAGGGUGACAGCCCCGUACACAAAAAUGCACAUGCUGUGAGCUCGAUGAGUAGGGCGGGACACGUGGUAUCCUGUCUGAAUAUGGGGGGACCAUCCUCCAAGGCUAAAUACUCCUGACUGACCGAUAGUGAACCAGUACCGUGAGGGAAAGGCGAAAAGAACCCCGGCGAGGGGAGUGAAAAAGAACCUGAAACCGUGU
rnacentral:rRNA from 1 species